GCAGGUUUGCAGUAUAGCUCUCUUUUAAGUCAAAUGUAUUCACAUAGCACUUUUUACAACACACAUUGUCAUAAAGCAGCUUUUACAGAUGUCUGGGUCCAGACCCCUAACGAGCAAGCCGGAGGCAACGGUGGCGAGGAAAAACUCCCUGGGUGGAAUUACGGAAGAAACCUUGGGAGAACCAAGACUGAAGAGGGAACUCCUCCUCCAUUGAGUGGGCAUUCUCUCCCUCUCCGGCCUGGGAAAAGGGUGCUGUCAGUAAGAAGAAAAGAAGCUCUCUGAAUAAAGAACGACCCGCCAACGUUCAAGACCUCCAGCGCUGGGACGCACACUCAGGCAAAAUGACGACCACUUGUCAGAAACCGAAGACACAAUCACUUCGGGGAUAUGUUCGCACACAGUUCUCCCUCCCAGAAUGCUACACAGUGCAAAGGUGUGUCUGUCUCUGGAGAUAUUCUAUACGCACAAACACUAGCUUGUGAUAUAUUUUUAAGCCCGGGGGGCAAUUCCUGUAAUUCCCAUUCUAUGAGCCUGGAGUACAGCCUGCUCUUGGACUGCAUUACAGUGCCAAUGAUGAAUCAGCUUGGAAAAUUCUUUUGAGCUUUGGGUUUAGGAUUAUUCUGAAUGCAAAGGAGCACAGUAGACCCUUCAGUCUCCAAGAAAGACCCACCAGGCAUGUUUUGAAUCAGUGCUCAGUAAAAAUUAACAGACAGAUCUGAUUUUCAGUGGAGCUUGAAGGCUUUCGAUCCAAACCGCAAAGUCUCGAGACCUCAAACUUGAAGACACUUCGCCACUGAAAUAUUACUGUAGAGGCGGGAUCAAGCCUGAACAAAUAUGUAUGUAACUUUCAUUGCAUAAGUUCCUUAAGUCUGAAAAAACCCAGGGAGGUGUUGGUAUUAGUUUCCUGUUUAAAACGGAGUACGGCAACGUGUAAAACAUUAGCCGCGUGUUUCCCAGCAUGUCCCAGGGCAAAUGGAAAAGGUCUCAAAAAUCACACAGUUUGCUGGUUCAUUCAUUUCACACUCAAGUGAAAACAGCAUAUGCGCACAUGUGCAUGAUAUGUGACUCUUCUAGGUGCCUGUGCCUUACCUCAGCCCACUGGCCUGAGAUCAGUGCCCAAACAACUCUCUCUGCGGCUACGGAUUCAUAUAGAAAUGUACUGGAUCUCUUUCCCAUUCAAUUUUGAUUCAAUCCAGUGGUAGAGUGUUUCGAGGGGAAUGCUAGUGAAAAAGGCCGUAAACUAGUCUACAGUUAUGUUACUAGCGACAACCUAUUUUUAAAAAAUAUAUAUUAGUUAAACUAAUUAUCUAGAUAAGUAACCUAAAUGAGCUAUUGUUUAAGAGCAAUAAUUUUAGGUACGCUUUAUAUGAGUCACUGCAACUGAUGUGAAUGAUGUGAAGAACUGCCCAACACUAACAGAACUCACGAUGCCCACACUGCUCAACACUGUAACAGUUCUGACAAUGCCCACACUGCCCAACACUAACAGUUCUCACAGUGCCCACAUUGCCAUACACUGUAACAGGACUCCCAACGCCCACACUGCCUAACACUGUGGUAGGUCUUGUGGCAGAAUUUCAUGUAGUGCUGAACAGUGAGUGUGAGGCACAGCCGUCAUUGGUUAGAAGUCUGGUGAUGUGUUCAAUGCUGAUUGGCCAUAACAGAAGGCGCUGGAGUGGAAAAUUAUAAAGUGACUUUAUAUGAAAUCUGAUAAAUGUGAUAUAAAUAUGAUAACUCAGAUUCCAAGAAUAAAAGUUAAGUGAAAAUG